rnacentral:rRNA from 1 species
CCUACGGGUGGCUGCAGUGGGGAAUAUUGGACAAUGGGGGCAACCCUGAUCCAGCCAUGCCGCGUGUGUGAAGAAGGCCCUCGGGGUGUAAAGCACUUUCAGGGAGGAAGAACGCCUGGUGGUGAAUACGCAGCAGGAAAGACAUCACUCACAGAAGAAGCACCGGCUAACUCCGUGCCAGCAGCCGCGGUAAUACGGAGGGUGCGAGCGUUAAUCGGAAUUACUGGGCGUAAAGCGCGAGUAGGUGGCUGGAUAAGCCGGUUGUGAAAGCCCCGGGCUCAACCUGGGAACGGCAUCCGGAACUGUCAAGCUAGAGUGCAGGAGAGGAAGGUAGAAUUCCCGGUGUAGCGGUGAAAUGCGUAGAGAUCGGGAGGAAUACCAGUGGCGAAGGCGGCCUUCUGGACUGACACUGACACUGAGGUGCGAAAGCGUGGGUAGCAAACAGGAUUAGAUACCCUAGUAGUC